rnacentral:lncRNA from 1 species
AUGUGAGUUGGGCUUGACAUUUGGGAAAAAUUGUGUAAUUGUAUGUUUGGGAAAAGGGUAGAACAAUGGAGAUUGAGCAUUGUAUGCAUGAGUUGGUCCCUUUCUUAGAUAUAUUAUGUGCAAUGUGAAGGCUACUUGUUUCGAGAGUAAACCACCGUAAAGAUUUUAUGUUUCGAACCUUUUGAAUCACUUGAAUAAAAGCCUUCCCUUACCCAAAUGACUUGGACCG